CCCAUAACAAUUUAAGAGAUGAAAAUGAAAUGAUACAAAUAUCAGAAAAUAGUUUAAUCACUUAAUCUGUUCAACAAUCAACAGAAUCUUCCAAUUAAUCAAUAGCAACUGAAGAAACUUUUUCUCCUCUUAAUCUCUAAUCCAAUCACCAAGAACGUAAGAUCAACAAUUAACCAAUUGAUGCAACAGUCUAAAAGUGAUUAAAGUGAUCAACAGUUUAGAUAACCAGGAAGGCCAAAGGAAUCAAAGUUAUUAUAUUAUCAUCUCAGUUAAUCAGAGUAACUACUCUUAGGAUAACUUUCUAAUCACAAUUAAUAUUUAAUCAACAAUCAUAAUCAUUUUCACUCUCUUCUUUUGUUGGAGGUGUGUCACUCCCAUCAUUAGUUAUAAUUAAAAAUAAUACAACAAUCAUCUAAUUAUCUAUUGACAAA